AUGGCAACCAUCCACGCAGCUCCUGCCCACUCCUGCCGCACCGCUGCUCGCCGCGCCCCGCGCCGUGCGCCCCGCUGCAGCUGCUGCCAGCCCACCACGCGCCCAGGGCAGCCCCAUGAGCACGCAACGGGAGUUAACUACAAACUGUCGCGUGGCUUCCCGAGCAAGGCAGGGUCCCUGCAAGUCGCACGCCGCUCGUUUUCUCGUGUUGUUGUUGUUGCCCAAAUGCGUGGAACAGCCAGAAAUGAGACCAAGAGGCAAUGUGGCGUGAGCAAGCUGGUUUUGGCCAGCACCCAAAAAGCGCUGUGCUGCUCCCGGCCGUGCGAUGGACACGAGCCACGUGUGGCCAUCGGGAAGGGGUCUGGGGGGACCCGCGGCGUUUUGCUUUCCCCUGCCAGCAUCCAACCCUGCAUCUCUGCUGUGCUGUGACGGGGGGGUCACACAAGCCAGGGUGGGGGCUGAAACACAACUGCUGUUUUCCAUUAAGGUCUCCAAACAGUCAAUUAAUUUGGAUUUUACCAGACAGCUAUUUGUUUGUUAAAUUAAAACCAGCUGGUUAUUGAAAGAAACAUAUUUAUUGGGAAUUAGCAGCCAUGUGCUGGAUGGAUAUUUACUACCUAGUUGUCAAAGCUCGAAUUCUGUGUUUAAUAAUCAUUUUUUUUCCUUUCAAUUAACGUAGGGGGAAAAAAAUCAUCCCAUUAAUUCUGAAUUAAGCACGCGUUUGGAAAACUUCAAUUCUGAGCGCUGCUGACAUCGCUGUCGGGUUAAAGCCUGGCUGUGGCGGAGCAGUGGGAGCUGUGCACGGGGAUGUGAAGCCCCUCGCCCAGGUCCAAACCCGACCCCAGGGGGUCUGAACCCUGCAGAGCAUCACUUCUGACCUUUCCCAGCUGAAAUGGGUGGCUUGGGGCUGUAUCUACCCCUCACCCCGGGUUAAUCCCUAUCCGAAAGCAGGGAAGGGGUUGGCGCAGGGGGCACUGAGUGAAAUGCAAAGGGCAGCCCACUCCUCUCCUCCUCCCAGGGCCUGGCCAGCCAAAACUUUCAAAUAUUUCAAGGGUUGGAAGGAAAUGGUAAUUGGGCCUUCCUGGAAUAGGCAGGGAGGGAGAUGAAUCGUUUAGAGGAAGGUGGACGGCGGUCGGAGAGCUCCUGCGCUCUGCUUCCUUUCUUCCCGAGCUCGCUGUGUGCUGAAACGCUUACUGCCCGUCAUGAGCAGUUUCCUUGGGUGCCCAGUGCCCGCCUGGGCUGCGCUUGGCUUUUAUCGUUGUGGCGAAGAAAUUUGGUUUAUCUAAAACAGGGCUGUGGGUGUGGGUGGGGGGAAUAAUGCCUUAUGGCUCAGGACCAGGCACUGGUAGAGGUGCUGGUGCUCAGCAUCUCGGUAAU
rnacentral:lncRNA from 1 species